rfam:Clostridium sp. CAG:306 genomic scaffold, scf146
GCCCCGGUAGCUCAGUUGGAUAGAGCGAUAGCGUCCUAAGCUGUGCGUCGUUGGUUCGAGUCCAAUCCGGGGUA